rnacentral:misc_RNA from 1 species
AAAUCGGGUACCCUACCUGAUCCGAGGUCACCUUUAAAAAUUGGGGGGUUUAGCGGCUGGAGCACGCCGGGACGAUCCGAACGAGGUUCGCGUUUUACCGCGUUUUACUGCGCUCAGUGUACCGACGAGCCCGCCGAUGAACUUGGGGGCCCCGGCCCCCCCAUUCCCCACGCCCCCCCCCCCCCUGCCGACCCCCGCCCCCCCCCGACCCCCCCCACCCCCCCCCCACCCCCCCACCCCCCGCCACACCGUGCCCCCCCCCCCCGCCCCCCCCGCCCCCAUCCCCCCCCCCGCGCCCCCCCCCCCCGCGCCCCCCCCCCCCCCGCCCCCACUCCCCCCCCCCCCCCAUACACCCCGCCCCCGCGUCCCCCCCCCGGGCGCCCCCCCCCCCCCCCCACCCCCCCCGCCCCCCCCUCCCCCACCCCCCCCCCCCCCCGACAAAACCCCCCCCCCCCCCCACUCGCCCCCCCCCACCUCCGACACCUCCAAGCCCCGCGCAAGGAUCAUUACUGAGUUGAAAAACUCCACCCUGUGAACAUAACCUCUGUCGUUGCUUCGGCGGGCACGCCCGCCGGAGGUUCAAAACUCUUAUUUUUUCCAGUAUCUCUGAGCCUGAAAGACAAAUAAUCAAAACUUUCAACAACGGAUCUCUUGGUUCUGGCAUCGAUGAAGAACGCAGCGAAAUGCGAUAAGUAAUGUGAAUUGCAGAAUUCAGUGAAUCAUCGAAUCUUUGAACGCACAUUGCGCCCGCCGGUAUUCCGGCGGGCAUGCCUGUUCGAGCGUCAUUUCAACCCUCAAGCCUCGGCUUGGUGUUGGCGCCAAACAUCUACACCCUGCCCUCCCCACAACCGGGGUUCAAAUUGAUCAACUCACCCCCCCCCCCUCACAUCUUGUCCGACGCACGCCGCGCGCAACCUGAUCCAGGAGCUGACGCCGACGAUCCGCUCGCGAGCGGUUGCCUCAGGCUCGCGUAGCACCUCAGCGUCAAGAACCUCCCACAACACCUACCGGAAGGAAACGCCUUCUCGUCUUGCCCCUCAA